rnacentral:rRNA from 1 species
CAUUACUGAGUCGUCGACACGAGUUGUUGCUGGUCCUCAAACGGAGGACAUGUGCACGCUCUGUUUACACAUCCACUCACACCUGUGCACCCUCUGUAGUUCUAUGGUUUGGGGGGCCCUGCCUCCCUUCUGUGGUUCUGCAUCUUUACACACACACUGUAACAAAGUCUUAAGGAAUGUACAUCGCGUUUAACGCAAUACAAUACAACUUUCAGCAACGGAUCUCUUGGCUCUCGCAUCGAUGAAGAACGCAGCGAAAUGCGAUAAGUAAUGUGAAUUGCAGAAUUCAGUGAAUCAUCGAAUCUUUGAACGCACCUUGCGCCCCUUGGCUAUUCCGAAGGGCAUGCCUGUUUGAGUAUCAUGAACACCUCAACUCCCAUGGUUCGCCGUGGUGAGCUUGGACUUUGGGGGUUUUGCUGGCCUACGGUCAGCUCCUCUCAAAUGAAUUAGCCUGCCAGUGUUUGGUGGCAUCACAGGUGUGAUAAAUAUCUACGCUUGCGAUUGCCUGCCAGGUAACCUUCAGCAAUGGGGGUUCACUGGGGCUCAUAGACGUCUCUCCCUCAGUGAGGACAACUCUUUAACGUUCGAUCUCAAAUCAGUAGGACUACCCGCUGAACUUAAGCAUAUCAAUAAGCGGAGG